rnacentral:lncRNA from 1 species
GAAGCUGCACCUCCACACAAUGUGAUAUUAUCAAUUUAUCACUCUGCUUUCGUGAAGGGAGUUCAAACCAACUUCAAGAUUGAACCAUCUUUUGGAGUUGAAGCCUCGCAGCUUUAUCCUGAUGUCAAGUACACUACAGUUGAUGAGUACCUCAAUCAGUUUGUGUAACCCUUCUCUGUUUCCAGCUGCAGCUUGCAGGAUCUUGGACUGUUGGUAAAUAAAUAAUUGGCUUGUUGCCAUCUUUGGUUUUAUAUGUAAAAAUUAUGGUUGUUGGCCUUACUUUCUUCUGGUUGUCCAUGGAAUUUGUUAGACCAUAUUUUGUUUGCUAUGUCAGUGAUCAAAUGAAGUAGGCCAUGUACUUGAUUUGAGAGUAGUAGUUAUAAAGCCAUCAUGAUCAGGUGGGUGCGUGGGUUGGGCUUCUAUUAGGGUGCGUGUGUUGGGCUUCAGGGGCUUGUGAUAUGGGUUCGACAGCCCCUAACGGGCAGUCAUUAUAAAAAUAAUUAUAGAGUUACAAAUCUAUGUAAAAAGCAAAAAUUAAAAGUAAUUUAUCAAUAAAAAUAAUUAAAAUUAAUAAAAAGUAGGUAUGAUAUUUCAGAAAUCAAAUUAAAGAUAGCAUUCUAAAGAGUCGGAUAAUCCUCCAACUAAACUAAAGAUCUAGUACAUUUGAGAGCAAAUUUAAUUAAAGAAAAGGAUAAGGAAAAACAAUAGAAUAAUAAUAUUAAAAAUUGCAAAUCUUGGUCUUUUUUUUUUACGAUGAUGUUGAAUUCUUAUAAAUUUAAUCUUAUCUAUAGAAUUAUUUAGUUACUGUAUGUCAAAAUUUCCUAUAAAGAUGAAGAAAAAUUAUAUUAGGAGAAGAUCCAAAUCCGUUUAACUGAUGCAUCAUCGACAACAUGAGUACAACAUUUUUGAAUAAACAAAAGAAACUCGUUUUAUGUGCGAACCAGUUCCAAAAUAAAGAGCAGACUAUUGGAAGGAGACAAAUACUACAAGAAGAACAAAACAUUCUACAGUUCCUACAUGAGCCCGCAACAAUUCAUUAUUAACUCGACAUUCAUUACACUUUUUCUUUAAUUUGACAAAGAAACCAAAAAUAAGAUAAAAUUGACUAAGAAAUAAAAAAAUGACCGAAAUCUUUUUGAAGUUUUGCCAGUUCAGCCAUGCACGCUUAUCUUUAUUCACUUGUUUCCUUUCUUUCCUUUCUUUGCUGAAGCCUUCACAGAUCCUUUACCUUUCUGAGCCUUGCCAAUUUUCCCCUUCUUCAAACCACCUGGCCUUGCUGGAUCCACGUGUCCUUGCAUCCUUUUUCAUUCGUGGAUCAACAAGAAUCUUCCCCUUUCCAGCUCUCUCUUGAACUCCUUUCUUUGGGACCAGUAUUCUUUUGUCGGCCUUUUGGGUAUAGUUGUCUUGUAUAAUUGUUCAAUUUGAUUCCUCUUCGAACGAUCAGAGAUGUCCGCUUAGUCUGAUAUGACAUUUGCCUUCUUGCGAACCUUCUCAAGAUUUCGCAUGGCAACCCGUAUCUUUCGAGCUUUGGUCUUAGCCACCUUCUUGGCAGUAUGGGUGGGCGAUUCGGUUUUGGGAUAAACUUUUGGUUUCGUAUCGGUUUAGAUUAAAAAAUAAUAUAAAAAAAUAUUUAGAUUUUAAGAGAAAAAAUCCGAACCGAGACUCACCUAUCGAUUUCGGCUCGGUUUCAGUUCAGUUUUGAUUCUCCUAAUAGUUUUAUUUUGCCUUAUUGACUUCCGGUCAAUGACACUUUUGAAAAAUUUACCAAAAAAAAAAAAAAUGGCCAUAACAAAAUUUCUAUAUGCAAAUAUUUCCUAAACAUUAGGCUAUACUAAAUUUUUUUAAAAGGUAGGGACCCAAACGAUAUUAUCCCUCUACUUCAUCUUCAACCUUCGUCAUUAGGGAUGGCAAAAUCCGAGUUCGGGUCCGGGUUUAGCCAUUUGGGAUCCGGACCCGGAUGAAUAUUUUUUGUACCAGACCCGAAAAUAAACCCGCAUUUUUCCACUUCGAGUCCGGUACGGGUUCAACCCGAAAAAAUUCGGGUUCCCUGACUGCGGGUUUCCAACUCGGAUUAAUGAAUCCAAUUGAAAAAAAAAAACUAAAUUCAACAAAAAAAAUCAAAUAGAAAUACAUAUCCAGGAUUUCAGCAAAUCAAAGAAAAAUUAUUUCAUCUGGAAACUAAUUAACAAAAACAACAAUUUUGUUUGGCUGCCCAGAAUCAGCAACCCAAUGUGGCGGCUCGUUCAAAACAUUAGUGUUUUCAACAGAUUUUGGGGUAGGAAAAGCCAAACCUAUCUAGAACAAUGAAUUUGUAUUUUUGGGGGAGAUGAGGUACCUCACUGGUUUGUUGUGUGCGGUGCAGUGUAUCUUAAAUUUGGGGGAUGUGAGAAGGGGAGAGGGAGUGGUAAUAAUGGUGAAAGGUCAAAACCAAUAGAGAUGUCCUUCAAAAUGAGCUUCACACCUGUAAAACAGUGAAAUAAAGGUUAGAGGUGAAGCUGGGGUAUCCCGGUGUUCACACUCCGACGCUCAAGUUAGCAAACUCAAGCUUUUAUGACAAAGAGAACUGGCUAGCCCUCUGUAAAUUAGGGUUUAAGGUUCAAGGAAACCUAUUUUUUGGAAUGUGAGUGUUAAUGGUGAGUGAGAGACCUCUUGGAGAAUGAAACCUAUGCGCCUUUAUAUAUGGAGUACCUCAGCUGCCACGUGACGUACCCUUUUUGGCUAACGUCAUUUUUCAUUUUUAUGAUUUUUGGGUCGUUAUGUUCAUGUUCGCGGGGUAUCUCAUCUUUUAGAAACGUGGCGCGCGCUGGAGAGUGGUCCAGGGUACCUCUGCAGUAGCUGUCGGGUAGGCGGCUGAGGACCACUGUCCUUGGGACAGUGUCUUUCACUUUUGGUAAAGGUGACAGGCGGUUGUCCUCCCUUUUAACACGACAUUUUUUAUUCCUAAUUAUGACAAAAUCGAAUAAUAUCUUUUAAGAGAUGGAGACGUUUCUCAUGGUGGAUAUUUUCGGAAGAUUCUCUUGCAUCUGAUCAGCCGGGUUCCUCCAGUUACGCAGGGUACCUCAAUUUAUGUGGGGUACCUCUAAUUUUAUGGGGUACCACUAUUUGCGCAGGGUACCUUGAAUCAUGCCAAGUACCUUAGAUUAUGCGGAGUACCUCUAAUUGUGCGGGAUACCUCUAUUGCGCUAGGUACCUUGAAUCAUGCCGGGUACCUCAGAUUGUGCGGGGUAUCUCUAUUUGCGCAGGGUACCUUGAAUCAUGCUGGGCACCUCAGAUUGUGUGGGGUACCUUGAGUCAUGCGAGGUACCUCUAAUCAGGCCAGGUACCCUCUAAUUGUGCUGAGUACCUAUAAUCAUGCAGGGUACCUCUAAUCAAGCCGGGUACCUUUAAUCAUGCGGGGUACCUCUAAUCAGGCCGGGUACCUUAGAUUGUGCGGGGUACCUCUAUUUGCGCAGGGUACCUUGAAUCAUGCAGGGUAUCUCAGAUUGUGCGGGGUACCUCAAAUUGUGUGGGGUACUUCUAAUCGUGCGGGGUACCUCUAAUCAUGUCGGGUACCUCGGAUUGCACUGAAGUUAUUCCAUUCGUUGACACGUGGCGUUAUGCUAUCUUUCUUAUUUUUCCCCCAAACAACAUCCCUCUAGUUUCUUUUGGCAAGAAGUUUUGGAGGCAAAAGAAACUUACAUAAAAAGUAGAAGCGACACGUGGCGAUAUGAUGUUUAGCUCGAUGGGUAACUAAAUAGAGGGCGCCUUUAGGGGUACCCUGAGAACCCAAAAAGGGAAGAUGGGCUCCAUUUCCUCGGAAAUGGCUACCACUUUGGACAUGUUGGAAAGGAUAGAGCUAAUUGAUCAAAAAAAUUUCAUCUAUUUCUAGGGAAGAACACCAAAUACGGGUAGAGGGUAUCGUUAGGGUACCCCACCAUUACCCAUAGUUUGUUUUCUAGUGACUGCCAUGUAUAAAUCGCUCUGGUGAAGGCUUCAAUACAUUCUUUGGGCAUUUAAGAAGCAAUUAUUUGAUUAUCUCGGGAUCCACCUUAUUUAAGGGUAUAUUUCCUUCAUGUACUUUGAAGACAAAAAUAAAAUCACAGGGCUUUCUUCCUUGUAACUUCAGAGGUACCCUCGACAGAAGAAUAUAGUCAACAAUGCUUUUAAGCGUAUCAUGAUCGAGGAAUGGAGUGCUGAUCUGGGGUUGGUGGUGCCAAGAGUGGAGAAGAUGGUAGAUGAACCGGCUAUCUUGAAGGCGAUUAACGAUAGCGGGGCUCUCAACACAUCUUGGUCUGAAGGGGUAAUGCAAAUAAGUUUACGUUGAUUGGAUAUUCAGAAGAAGUAAUACGCCAUUAAAAGCAACAAGUUUUCCAAAAAGCCAACAAAGACAGACACCACCACACCACCCCGCGCUGGAUGAAAAACGAUGAAAGCAUGAUAAGUGACAUCGAGUAAGCCACGUUCUCUCUCUCUCUCUCACUCGCACUCGCACUCGCACUCGCACUCGCACUCGCACACACUGUUACUAAAAUAACCAAAAAUAAGAUUCCCAUCAAAAUAUUUUCAAGUAUCGUUCUUGAAAGUGGCGGCGGCUGAUGAUGAUGAACACAGCCGCGAUUGCGAUUGGCGAAGGCGGCGUUCAGCCCGUAUCACAGCUAGUUAUCGGUCGUGGCAGAAAAGAUAAUGAAACGACGGCUGAUGAUGAUAAUGAUGAUGUUGAACAGCCGCAAAUAUGGGUAAGUGAUGCGACGAUGAUUUGAUGAAGAUGAAGAUGAGCUGAAGAUGGAAUAAGAGUGGAAAUGUUUGUGCGGCUGGGAAAGUGUAAUGAGCUGCUAGGGCACCAUUUGGGUUUUUUUGCUUUCCUAUUUAUAUUAAAAAUAAUUUUUAAAAAUUAAUAUAUAUCCGGGUUCGGGUUUUGGAUGUACGGGUUUACCUAGACCCGGACACAUGCGGAUUCAGCAGCACCGACCACCCACAGACUUGGAUUCGAUUGCAAAGUUGGGACUUAGGAUUUGGGUUUGUGGCUGCUGAAACAGAAAGUGAGAGAGUAGAAAGUAGAGACUAAGAGUGGUGCAAACAUGUGUAAUUUUGUGUGUGUGUCUAUAUAUAUAUAUAUAAUGUGAAAUUACAAAAAUGCCAUUAUAUCAGUUCAAUUCGAAUUUUGUAACUUGUGAUCCAAAAACUGAACCAAACCGAACCAUUUGGUUUGGUUUUUAUAUAUUCAGGUUUUUAAUUUAAAAAAACUAAAUUGAAAUUGAAAGAACUAAACCGAACCGAAUUUUUUUUUUUUUUUUGUUUCGGUUCAAUUAUGCCCAUCCCUACUUAGUAGGCUGGGCAUUAAUUUCUUUGAAUUGUGCUUUCAUUGCAGUAAUCUCCUCCUUGGUAAUAGGUUUAAUUGCUUGUUGAUGCCUCAUUUCCUCUAGUAACAACUAGUCUAACAAGCCAUCAUCGUCAAACAUGUACCUAUUAUAAGCAUCAUCCAGAAUUUGCUCUCUUUGCUUUUUGCUUAGUGUCUUCUUUGCACAAGCUAUUAUCUCAGCUUUUGUAUGAAUAUCUUUAUCUUUUGAUUCACCAGAGGAUGAAUCAUCACCGGAAUAGAGUGGUGAAGGCCCCAUAGAUUAGUGUGAUCAAGUUCUAGUGUAGUUUUGGUUUUGAUUUCAGUAUUAGGAAAAUGAAGCCUAUGAAAUUUACUAAGCUAACAUGCUUCACAAAAGUGCUUUAAUACUUGAAGAGGAUAAAUGAGGAUAAAUAAAUUUAAAUAUACAUUAGAUUUUGAGGGUUGGGAUGUCAAAACUUUUGGUGAAAAAGAGUUAGUACAAGCAUUUUUAUUGAGAUUGAAAAUAUUUCUUAAGAUGAUCAAUACUAGUUACAAAAUUGGAAUGAAAAAAAAAGGCAACAUAGACAAAGGUUUGUUUAUUUGAUUGUAAGAUAGAAAAGACUUGUAUUUAAGUUGUGGAAAGGAUUUGAGCAGCAAUUUAUACAACCUUUUCUCAGCAAAACCUUCCUCUUCAAUGAAUCCUUCACAAAACAAAUAGAUCCAAGAAAUUCGACAAAUAAAUUGUUGUCAAUGGUAAGUUUUGAAAUGCUCAAUAGAUUCUUUGUAAUGGAUGGAACAAACAGUACAUCCUUAAGUAAAAUAUGUCUUAUAUUAUCUUUUUUUAAUUCUUUUUUAAAAAAUAAGUGAAUAAUAGUAUGUCAAUCUCAAAUAUCAAUAUGUACAAUUUUUAUUUGUGUAAGAAUUUGCAUCCAAUAAUCAUCAAUACAUAAUUGUCUUUUAAUUGAAUGGUUCUCACCUCCCUUCCAAACUUUGAAAAGGUAAAAUAAGAUCAAUCAUGUCAGUGGCAAUUAAUAUAAAGAUUACUUUUCUUAUUUGUAGUAACGUCCUCUGAUUAUUUAGCUGAUUUUCAAGCUACACAUUUAUUCCAUUUGAUGUUGAUAUUAGUAAAAUUAAUGUAAUAUUUAAAAAGGAAAAAAAUCCGUCGAGCUAAAAGCCGAGUAUAAAAUUGAACCGGACCCAAACCAGAAACGCACGCCAACAACAUGCUUGCGUUAGUCGGCCCAUGCCCAUAAACCCACCAAGCCCGAUCCAAAUAGAAAAAUGAAUUGGACACCCGAGAUAGCAGAAACAGAUAAGUAACGGUCGUGUUAUCCCCAAUCUCAUAUCUUCAACGGUAUCCAGCCAACAUCUCAAAGUGUUCAAUUUUUUUUUAAGCCAAAAAAAAAUUCAAAAUUUUCAAGCGGAAUCUGGGAAGAUGGCGAUGAAAAGCAAGAUUCUGGUUAUCGGCGGAACCGGAUACAUCGGUAAGUACUUAAGGUGCGUUUGAAAUUGAGGUUGAACAACUAUAACUUUAAAACUACAGCACUAAAAUAUUUGGUAAACACUAACUGUUGUAACUUAAAAGCUAUUUAAUAUAAUUUUUCACUUGUAUAAUAAAAAAUUUAUUAUCUUUAAUAAUUUUGUCAAAAUUAUUAUUUAAAAUAUAUACAGUAAGAGAGAUUGUAACAUUUUCAAUCUUUGGUUUGAUAUUCUGGAAGAAAACGGUUUGCCGUUUACGGAGAAAAUGGCUAACCGUUUAAUUUCAGAGAGCAUGUUUUCUAUUCUAGAGAAAACGACUAACCGUUUGGAGAAAAUGGCUAACCGUUUGGAGAAAACGGCUAACCGUUUUGAGAAAACGGCUAACCGUUUAAUUCCAGAGAGCAUGUUUUCUGUUCUAAAGAAAAUAACUAACCGUUUGGAUAAAACAACCAACCAUUAAUUACAGAGAGUAACUUAUUUGACAUUCUGGAAUAAAACGGCUCACCGUUAUUGAGAAAAUGGCUAACCGUUUAUUUCCAGAGAGCGUGUUUUUGCGUCAACUGGAAAAACGGUUAGCAAGCUUGGAAAUUUCAAUUGUCAAUCGAUGCAAACUCAAACCAAAAGAGUGUUUUUUAAAGAAGUACCAUUUUUAAUGGUUGUAUUCUUUCAAAUAAACAUCUUCUUUAUUAAAGAUAAACAAACUAUUAUAUCAUAAUCAGAUUUUGCAGGUUUCAUAUAUGUUCUGGAAAUACAAUCUUAUUUUCUAGAGAUUGUAUUCAGGAUUUGAUAUAUCUUAGGGGUAAUUUGCCAUUAAAACUCUAUAGCAAACCAAGAUUGGUGAGGGCAAAUAAAACCUUAAAGAAAAGUGUGCAAACACGUCUCAAAUCCUAAGAAAUUUUCUUUGUUCUUUGCCUCCAUAUUCUUAAAAUUUGAAAAUUCACCCAUCAAUCUUUAAGGUUUUAUUUUGAUGCAAAUAGAGGCUGAGAAGAGUUUGACGCCAUUUCUUAAUCCUAGUGUCCAUCUCGAUCGUUUUGAUGGAACAAAUUUCACUCGUUGGAAGGGAAAAUUGUUCUUUCUUCUUACUGUUCUUAAAGUGACAUAUGUUCUUGAUCCGAAAUUGGAACCAUUUCCAGAACCAAGAGAAGAUGAUACCGAAGUUGUUAAGGCUGCAAGGAAACGUCGUGAAGAUGAUGAAUUGAUGUGCCGGGGUCACAUACUCAAUACGCGUUCUGACAGGUUAUAUGAUCUCUACAAUUUUAUGACUUCUCCGGUGGAAAUUUGGAAUGCUCUUAAGUACAAAUACAAAACGGAGAAAGAAGGUACUGACAAAUUCCUUGUCUCUAAAUAUUUUGAAUUUAUUAUGAUAGACACACAAUCCAUUCUUGAUCAAAUACAUGAGUUAUAAAUUAUUGUUGCUAAGCUUCGAGAGUUAAAAGUUGAAAUUUUUGAAUCAUUUCAAGUUGGGACUAUUAUUGCUAAAUUGCCUCAAAGUUGGAAUGAUUAUAGAAAGAAACUCCUUCAUAGUAAAGAGAACAUAACUUUAGAAGAAUUGCAAAAACACUUGAUAAUUGAAGAAGAGACUAGGUCUCGCGAAUCCAAGGAUAAGCAUGAUUCUACUAAAGUUAAUGUUCUUGAAGCUAGUAAAUUCUCAAAGAAUUUUAAAGUCAAGAAUGACAAGAAAUUUAAGAAGUCCAGCACACAAAAGUUUUCUGGAAAUUGUUUCUUUUGUGGUAAGAAAGGUCAUCGCCAAAGUGAUUGCAGAUUCAAGAAAAAAAAAAGGAAGAAGUGGAUUCCUAUAAAGCUAAUGUUAUUGAAAACAAAUCUGAAAAGAUUUGUGCUAUGGUUUCUGAAAUGCAAAUUGGCAUGAUUAUCGAAACCAAUAUGGCUGAAACUAAGUCCUAUGAUUGGUGGCUCGAUUCGGGUACAACAAUUCAUGUUUGUAAUGAUAAGAAAUUUUUAUUAUCAUACAAAGAAGAAACGGAAGGACAAAUGGUUCUCAUGGGGAACAAUAAUGCAGCCAUAGUAGCAGGGAAAUGAGUAGUUGAGAUCAACUUCACUUCUAGAAAGAAAGUCACAUUGUAUAAUGUCUUUCAUGUACCUUUCGUUAGGAAGAAUCUUAUUUCUGCUAGUUGUAUGUGUAAGCAUGGGCUUAAGAUUGUGCUUGAGGGUAAUACUUGUAUUAUCUCAAAGAAUGAAUUAUUUGUUGGGAAAUGGUAUUCUUGUGAUGGAAUGUACAAACUCAACAUUAAUAAUAAUAAUAUCAACUUAGCUUAUAUUGUUGAGUCUUGUGAUGUUUGGCAUGCUAAAUUAGCACAUUUGAAUUUUAGAUCUUUGAAAUACAUGUCUGAGCAUGGUUUGAUUAAUUGCAAUGAUGUUAAAGGUCAUAAGUGUGAAAUCUGCAUCCAAGCUAAAUUAACUAAGAAACAUUUUCUUAAAGCCGAACGAAAUACUCAAAUAUUGGACUUAAUAUAUACCGAUAUUUGUGAGUAUAAUGGCGUUUUAACAAGAGGAGGUAAGAAGUACUUUAUCACUUUUAUUGAUGAUUGUUCUAGAUACACUUAUGUGUAUUUACUUAGAACAAAAAAUGAAGCUUUUGAUAAAUUUAAAAUUUUCAAAGCUGAAGUUGAGAACUAAAAAGAUAAGAAAAUCAAAAUGGUUCGUAGUGAUAGAGGUGGUGAAUAUUUCUCAAUUGAAUUUAAUAAUUAUUGUGAAGAAUUUGGAAUUAUUCACCAAAGAUCAGCUCCAUUUACUCCUCAACAAAGUGGUUUGGCUAAAAGAAAGAAUAAGAUCUUCACAGAUAUGAUAAAUUCCAUGAUCCUUAAUGCAAAACUACCAAAUAAUUUGUGGGGGGAAGCAUUACUCACUGCAUGUCAUAUUCAUAACAGAAUUACAUAUUUGAAAACACAUAUAUCUCUUUAUGAAAUUUGGAAAGGAAGAAAACCAAACUUGAUGUAUUUAAGGGUCUAGGGUUGUUUAGCUUUUUAUAAAAUACAUGAUCCUAAAUCAUCAAAGUUAUGUGCUAGAUGUAUAAAGAGUGUUUUCGUAGGAUAUGCUGAAAAUUCCAAGGCUUAUAGGUUGUUAGAUUUAGAUUAUAAUGUGAUUGUGGAAUCUAGAGAUGUUGAAUUUAUUGAGAAUAAAUUUCAACAUGAUUCUAAUAUUGAAUUAGAAUCAAUUAUUGAUCAACCAUGUGUUAAUACUCCUGUUACCUCCACUAACAAUAAUAAAAGGAAAGACUCUAUGACAUCUUUCGAACCAAUGAGGAGUCAAGGUGAAAAGAAAGAAAAGAGUUUAGCUCCGAAUUUUAUUUCAUCACAAGCACUACUCUUCUUGGUUGAAGGGGAUAGAAAGAAUGUACUUAACAAAGUACCAUUGUUGUUAAAUAUUGAAAAAGAUCCAAAGACAUUUAGCGAAGCUAUGUCUUCUAGAGACGCUUCUUUUUGGAGAGAGGCGGUAAAUGAUGAAAUUGAUUCGAUUAUUUCGAAUCAAACAUGGGUCUUGGUUGAUCUUCCUCCAGGAUCUAAACCAAUUAGCAGCAAAUGGGUAUUUAGAAGAAAGUACAAUAGUGAUGGUUCUUUGCAAACUUUUUAGGCUAGAUUAGUAGCCAAAGGGUUUAAGCAAAGAAAUGGUAUUGGUUAUUUCGAUACAUAUGCUUCGGUAGCAAGGUUAACUUCUAUAAGAGUGCUAUUUGCAAUUGCUUCAUUGAAUAAUUUGUAUGUGCAACUAAUGGAUGUUAAAACCGCUUUUCUUAAUGGUGAUCUUGAUGAAGAAAUCUAUAUGGAACAACCUGAGGGAUUUGUUUUACCAGGAAAUGAGAAAAAAGGUAUGCAAGUUAGUCAAAUCACUUUAUGGUUUAAAGCAAGCACCAAAACAAUGGCAUGAGAAGUUUGAUUCGGUAAUUUUAUCUCAUGGUUUUAAGCAUAAUAAUGCUGAUAAAUGUAUAUAUUUUAAAGUUACGAAUGAUUUUGGUGUGAUUAUAUGCUUGUAUGUUGAUGACUUGCUUAUCUUUGGAACAAAUAUGCAAGGAGUAGAUGAUACAAAGAAGUAUUUAACUUCACAAUUUAAGAUAAAAGAUCUUGGUGAAGUAGAUACUAUCUUAGGUGUCAAAGUGAAGAAACAUAGUGGGGGUUACUCGUUGUGUCAAUCUCAUUAUAUAGAGAAAGUGCUUCUUAAAUUCAAUUAUUUGAAAUUUAAAGAAGCUAAUACCCCAUAUGAUUCUAGUAUUAAAUUAUUAGAGAAUUCAGGCCGAGUAGUAGCACAACUAGAAUAUGCUAGUGCUAUUGGUAGCUUGAUGUAUGCUAUGCAUUGUACGAGGCCUGAUAUAGCAUUUGCAGUUUGCAAAAUGUCAAGAUUCACGAGUAACCCUAGUGUUGAACACUGGAAAUCAAUUGGUAGAAUACUUGGUUAUCUUAAAAGGACCAUUAAUUUGGGUUUGUUUUAUAAUGAUUAUCUUGAAGUACUGGAAGGAUAUUCAGAUGCUAGUUGGGUAACCAAUACAAGAGAUAAUAAAUCCACUUCUGGUUGGAUUUUUACAAUUGCUGGAGGAGCAGUUUCUUGGGCUUCAAAGAAACAAAUGUACAUAACUCAUUCAACAAUGGAAAGUGAGUUUAUAGCACUCGCAGUUGCAAGCAAGGAAGUAGAAUGGCUGAGAAAUUUGUUGUUUGAUAUAAUGUUAUGGCCACAACCGAUGCCAUCUAUUUCUUUGUACUGCGAUAGUGAAGCUACAUUGUCUAGAGCUUAUAAUAAAGUGUAUAAUGGAAAGUCUAGACAUAUUAGCUUGAGACAUGAAUAUGUGAAACAAUUAAUAGCAGAUGGUGUUAUUAAUAUUGUUUAUGUUAGGACUAAUAAGAACCUAGCGGAUCCUUUAACAAAAGGUCUUACAAGAGACUUAGUUAAGGAUACAUCUUUUGGAAUGGGAUUGAAACCUUUAAAUAAUAAAGUCACCAACGACGAUAACCCAACUAUGUAGUAGUUGCACCGCUACUCCAUAGUUAAAUGGAUAAUAACAAGUUGUUGUUAUGUGACUGGUUUGGCACCGAGUAAUAAAUAAUCACAUUCGAGAUAUUCGGUGCAAAUAGCUACGAGGUUGAGGUUGAGUAUUUACUCUUAAUGAAGUUCAAGUCUUAUACUAGCUAAAGACAUGAUUUGAAACUUCACCUAAGUGAACAUAAGAAAUGGUGCCGUUUCUAACAAGAUCAUGGUUUAAUCUAGUAAAUGUUUAUGAAUCCAAGAUAGAGCACAAGGCCGGAAUAGUGCUAAAUAUUGGAACACAACUUUGAAAAUCUGGGAUAGCUUAUAUGUGAUGUAUCUCCGGUAUUUACUUAAGAGACAAAGUUUAAUGCUUAGCACACUAUUGUUUUGUAAAUGCUUUGAAAUACACUCACUAAUUAAAGGUUAAAAUCGAAAGAUAUCGUUUUGUAUGUAUAAGUUUAUCAUUAAUAAAUAUGAAAAAUAUUACAAUCUAGUGGGGGAUUGUAAGAGAGAUUGUAACAUUUUCAAUCUUUGGUUUGAUAUUCUGGAAGAAAACGGUUUGCCGUUUAUGGAGAAAACGGCUAACUGUUUAAUUCCAAAUAGCAUGUUUUCUGUUCUAGAGAAAACGACUAACUAUUUGGAGAAAAUGGCUAACUGUUUAAUUUUAGAGAGCAUGUUUUCUGUUCUAGAGAAAACGGCUAACCGUUUGGAUAAAACGGCCAACCGUUAAUUACAGAGAGUAACUUAUUUGACAUUCUGGAAUAAAACGGCUCACCGUUAUUGAGAAAACGGCUAACCAUUUAUUUCCAGAGAGCGUGUUUUUGCGUCAACUGGAAAAACGGUUAGCAAGCUUGGAAAUUUCAAUUGUCAAUCGAUGCAAACUCAAACCAAAAGAGUGUUUUUUUAAAGAAGUACCAUUUCUAAUAGUUGUAUUCUUUCAAAUAAACAUCUUCUUUAUUAAAGAUAGACAAACAAUUAGAUCAUAAUCAGAUUUUGCAGGUUUCAUAUAUGUUUUGGAAAUACAAUCUUAUUUGCUAGAGAUUGUAUUCAGGAUUUGAUAUAUCUUGGGGGUAAUUUGCCAUUAAAACUCUAUAGCAAACCAAGAUUGGUGAGGGCAAAUAAAACCUUAAAGGAAAGUGUGCAAACACGUCUCAAAUCCUAAGAAUUGUUUUUUGUUCUUUGUCUCAAUAUUCUUAAAAUUCGAAAAUUCACCCAUCAUAUACAUACUACAUAUUAUUAAUUUUUGUUUUAUAACUAUAGUUUUUUUUUUACCGCAACUGUAGUUUAAAAACUACAGCACCUCAAUCCCAAAUAAGACCUUAGUAGAAGUGAGCGCGAAAGCCGAUCACCCAACAUUCGCGCUUGUGAGAGACUCCACUCUCUCCACUCCUUCCAAAUCCAAAAUCCUCGACCGUUUCAAAAAUCUCAGCUCGACCGUUUCAAAAAUCUCAGCGUCAAUUUAGUUCAUGUGCGCCACUCUUUUAGCUUUCCAAUUUUCCCGCCAAUUUUCUUUUAUUGUGAUUAAUUAAUUAAUUAAUGUAAAGAUUUUAUAUUAUAAUUUUGUUUGCAGGGAGAUCUAUACAGCCAUGAGAGCUUGGUGAGUACAAUAAAGCAAGUGGAUGUGGUGAUAUCAGCGAUAGGUCGCACUCAAUUAGCUGAUCAACUCAACAUUAUCGCAGCAAAUUGCGAUAACUAAGUACUUGGGAUUUUAAAGAAGCUGGAAAUGUUAAGGUUCUGAUUAACUUAAGUAAAUGCGUUAACUAAUUACUUGGGAUUUUAAAUUCAAAUGUGUGAAUUGUUCUAAAAAAUUAUUUAUGUUUAUUAGUCAGAGAUUCUUUCCUUCAGAAUUUGGAAAUGAUGUUGAUCGCGUGCAUGUCGUUGAGCCAGCAAGAACAUCAUUUGCCACCAAGGCUAAAAUCCGCCGAGCUGUUGAGGAUGAAGGAAUUCCAUACACCUACGUAGCUACGUAGCUUCCAAUUUCUUCGCUGGUUUGUAUCUUUCCAGUUUCUCACAGCCUGAAGCCACAGCUCCUCCAAGGGAUAAAGUGGUCAUCGUAGGUGAUGGAAAUGCAAAAGGCAAAGCGCUUCUGGAUACAUUUACUCUGUACACGCAAUGUGUGGUUACUGUUUGGAGAUAAAAAAGGAGAUUAAUUAAUAAAGAAAAUGAAAUUAUUGAGGGAUUUGCUGAAGAGUUGCGUGCACUCCUCAUUUUUCUCCACCACUCAUCUUACUUGCAAAAUGCAAUGACCAAACUAUCCUCGCCAAAGCCUAGACAUUUACUUGUGUUCAAAGGCCAUUUAAGGGAGACAAGUACAAAAAGUUAUAAAGGAUAGUAAGCAGAAGAAGAAAAUGGAAAGGGGAGGGGGGGGGGGGGAGAAUAAAAAAGGGGAGUGGGGCGUUAUCUAGGGAGGAUUUUUAUUUUUAUUUUUUUUCCUCUCUUCUCCAUGGCAUCUCUUUCUCUCUUUCUCCCACUAAGAAAUUCUUUCUUUUACACUCUAUUUUACUUUUAUGCAAAUUACGCAAAAAACUUUUGGUUUUAAGGCAAUGUUUAUUAAGCCACGUGAAUUUGAAAAAGCAUGAAUAAGGGGAUGAUUUUAACACAUUAAUUCACCAACAUUAAUUGGAAAAGAUCAGUUGCCACUUCGAAUCAGAGUAAUUUCUUCGGCAAUAGCCAAAUAUUGAUAUUUGAUCUUGACACUGUAGUUAAAUCAAUGUAACUGAUUUUGUCAUUUGAUCCCCAGUAAUUUUUAACAAGGAAGACGAUAUUGGGAUUAAUUCUAUCAAAGCGGUGGAUGAUCCAAGAACACUGAACAAAAUACUUUACAUCAGACCCCGUUGCAAUAUCUACUCAUUUAAUGAUCUUGUGUCUCUGUGGGAGGAAAAGAUUGGCAAAGCCCUUGACAGGGUCUAUGUUACAGAGGAACAACUUCUGAAAAACAUUCAAGGUUAGUUAGAACUAUCACUUUAUCAAGUGGAUAGAUGUAACUGACCGAUAAUGGAAAUUUUUUUCCUUCUCCAAAAUGCGAUAGAAUCUAAUCGGUUUCAACAAUCUCAAGAACACCUAUUCAUGGUUGUGUUGUUUGAAAUCUGUAUGUAUCAGUUUUCUUUCUAGAUCUCAGAUUGCUCGCAAGGAUGUCAAGUUUUGAUGAUGCUUGCCUGUUUUCCUGUGUUUACAGAAGCUUCAUAUCCACUCAAUAUGAUAUUACCUAUUGGGCACUCUGCCUAUGUCCUGGGAGAUCAGACCAACUUCGAAAUUGAACCUUCAUUUGGAGUAGAGGCAACAGAGCUUUAUCCAGAUGUCAACUACACUACUGUGGAUGAGUACCUCAACCAGUUCAUAUAAACCUUCUGAGAUGAGCAGCAGGAUCCUAACAAAAAAUUGGGUGGUUUCCAUCCCUGAUUCUAUGGUAUAAAGAUAGCGGCUUUCCCUGCUUUUGCCAGUUCAGUGAAGUUUGUUAGAUGAUGUUAUUUAUACUAUACUAGCAAAGAUCAAGUUGCCUUUCUUGUCAAGAAGCCAAGCUCUGGCAUUGGUUUAUGCUAGUUUUUCACACUAAUAUUGGUAUUCACUAAUUUUUUUUUUUCAUUUCACACCGCCAUCAUCAGUGGAGAUGCCCUCUUGUAUGGUACUAACUUUGAUUUUCCUUAUGCUUCACUUGCUGUCUCUGCAGAUUCGUAAAAGAUCAUUCAUGGAUAAGAUCAGAACAUCAAUUUGAUACAGUAUGCAUUGAGAACUCCCACAUGAUUCUUGUUCUAGUUCUGGUUAGACAUGAAACAUGUUACAGUUCCAUAACUUGAGACAUUGUCAUUCAACAAUUAUCAUCACAUUAAAACAGUGGCCAAUCCCUAACAGCUACCUUUUGACUCUUCACAUUUUUUUUCUGCAUUUUAUGCGCAUUAAUUAUCUAGACCUAGACUUAUUACACUUCUCAGCCUGGCCCGUUGGACAGUGAGUGAUGAAACAAAUUUUUUUUCAUGUUUAUUACUUUUUUUGCAUUCAAAAUGAUAAAACUGCAGAGGUUGUUGCAUGCACGUCAUUUGUUAGUAGGGGUAUCAAUUUAUGAACGUAUGAAGUAUCUCUUCUGCACCGGCAUCCUCCUUAACUGUCAGUAGGAUCACAAUAAGUCGACCAACCAUCUACCGUAUGGAUUAUCUAUAAAUUGAAAUUGGUGUGUAUUAUGGAUCUGUCACUCUGCUGCUUCUGUUUUCUUUUCUAUUUUUACCAAGAAAGAAACAUUGUUAAAACUGAAUGGUUGUUAUCUCGUCUUGUUGUAAUGUUGUGUAUGCUUUCUAGAAAAUAAUGAAGUGCCAAAUAUGAAAAUACUAGUGGCUACCUUACCAUCCUUAAUAAGUUGUCUGAUUGUCACCGUCAACAAUCACUCUCAGCAACUCAUAAUCCAUUUAAGCAUAUUAUAAAAUAAUCAAUUUUGUAUUUGCACCAACUUUUAGUUUUAAAUGACAAUUUCGUUGAUCCCCACACUUCUGUACUAAUCAAAUCCACUGAAACUGGACUUUUUUUUCUUUUUUUUUAUAAUUACAUCGAUUGCAUUGGCUAUUGCAGGGAAAAGACUGCCUCUACAGGGAACUAAACUUUCAGAAUUGAUCUUAUGAGGGUUUGAAUAUGCUCUCGUACUAGGUCAAUGGCCUAUUGGUUCGAGACCAUUCACAAAGAAAGAAAUGAGUUUUGCUUGUAUAAAUGAAAGAAAUCCAAAUGAUAACUAAUGUAUAGUGGUACAUGAGAAAAAUAAUUUCAGCCCCUGUGUAAAGUCAAAAAGAGAAAAUAUUAAAAGAAAGGAUAAUGUCAUUGAGUUCGGUGAAGUGAAAGAAAAUAAAAAACAUGGGAUUUAGUCAAACUUAGUGUCCCAAUCAGCAGAAAAAGGUUUUAGAAACUCACCUCAAGUUAAGCCAACUAUUAGGAGCUUUAUUUAAUCAUGGCUUUCUAAUGUAUAGUACUCCAAUACUAAACGAGGGCUACCUCUACGCUUGCAAAUGUAAAUGAAAUUGAGUUCGUGACGCACAAUGAAGUGAGCAAAAUGAGUUGAGAUCUGAGAAUAUAUUAAAGAAAAUAUGAAUCAAUGAAUUUUGGUUAAAAAAAACAAAUGCUGGUUCUUCAAGACCUGCGUGUAUUGUGUAAGUUUUGUUAGGAGAAGGAAAGCAUUUUGGUCUAAAACGCACUAAAUCGGAUUCAUUUGCUUGAUAUCUAAUAAGGGUGAAUUAACCACUCGCCCACAGCAAUUCAAGUACCCAAAAAAGUUUUGUGGGGGCUAAAUUUCUUCUUUAAUUAUAAAAAAUAAUUGAACGGAGGAUAAAAAUUUAGGCCAUGUAUAACAAUAACUAAUAUAAACUAGUCCUAAUAAUAGUAUAAUUGUAAAUAUCAGUUGUAGUCUCAUACAAUAUAAGUUUAUAGAUUAUAAUAUCGGCAUAAAAAGAAAAAUGAUAUCUGACGGUCAAUCAAUAAAAGGAUAAAAACUUUGGAGUAACAUACCACAAAGUCAAUGUAGCUGGACAGUGAAUAUAAUAUGUAAACAAAUUUAAAUGGGAUAAUACCAUACGGUACAUACAUAACAUUUUAAAACUGAAUUAAAAAAAUAAAAUUAAAACUGAAUUAGAAUUCGUAUGUGUAUCCAGCUACCUUGCCACAGUUGUAAGGUACCCUAACUUUGCAACAAUUUCAUCCUUCGUGCAUUCGGUCACAAAGUCCAAAUUAGGCACGUUUAAGAAUCGAACUGAAAAACUAAAAAAAAGAAUCCGGCGAUAUUUGCGAACCGGAAACGAGCCAGCGUUAUGCUUAUGUCAUUUCAGAGAUAUCAACAGUCGUGCUUUCAGUCCUUAAACCUCAAGGGCAUUUUCGUCCUUUCACUCAAGCGUGAAACUGCAUGUAAGAACUGCUUCGCUUACACGCUCCAUGCACAUUUAAAGGCACCACUGUCGGAUAAAAAAUAUCCAUCCAUUUGAUCAUUUCAAAACAAAACGAAAAAAAAAAUCUCAGUAAUUGAACUGAACGAGUCUCAGAAAUGGCAUCGAAAAGUAAGAUUCUAUUCAUCGGCGGGACAGGGUAUAUCGGUAAAUUCACUGUCGAAGCGAGCGUAAAAGCCGGCCACCCGACGUUCGUGCUCGUGAGAGAAUCCACAAUCUCUGGUCCUUCCAAAUCUCAACUCCUCGAUCACUUCAAAAACCUCGGCGUCAAUCUCGUCAUAGUGCGUUUUCAUUUUUCUCUUUUCUUAAUUUUUUAUUCCGAUCAUUUUUACACGUCGAAGUGUAGCAUCUACUACUUAAUAUACAUAAUGAUAUUAUUAUUUUUUAAUUUUUUUGGGUUGCUGUUAUUAUUAUGCAGGGAGAUGUGUUGAAUCACGAGAGUUUGGUGAAGGCGAUUAAACAAGUGGACGUGGUGAUAUCAACGGUCGGUCACACUUUAUUAGCUGAUCAGGUCAAGAUUAUUGCUGCCAUUAAAGAAGCCGGUAACGUUAAGGUAUAACAUAAUUAAUAUAAAUAUCUUGAAUUCCGAUCAGGAUUGUGCACUCGCGAACACGUGGUGAUUUAUUCUUGGUGUGGAGCUCGCUGUAGAGUAGAGCUCCCAGUUCAGCUAAUAAACACCCCGUCACAUGCGCAAUUGCGCCUCAAAAUAAUUUAAUUGAUUAAUUAAGGAUAAAUACCAAUGGCAUGAAAGCAAUUAAAAUUAGUUGAUGUUUAUAAAUUAUUUAUUACUCAGAGAUUCUUACCAUCGGAAUUUGGAAAUGAUGUUGAUCGAGUUGAAGGCGCCGUAGAGCCAACAAAAUCGACGUAUGACGUAAAGGCGAAAAUCCGCCGAGCCGUUGAGGCAGAAGGCAUUCCGUACACUUACGUAGAAUCUUAUUGUUUUGAUGGCUAUUUCCUCCCCAAUUUGUUGCAGCCUGAGGCCACUGCCCCCCCUAGGGAUAAGGUUGUCAUCUUAGGCGAUGGAAAUCCAAAAGGUAAUAUAAUUUAAUUAAGCUCUGUUUGUUUGGUAUGUAUUUCGGUGUUAAUGUUAUUGUCUGUUGUACAAUGGAUGGUCUUGCUUGGUACUGUUGUUGGAGAGCUGCAGUGUUUUGAUAAACACCUCUAUCCUUAGCUUUCAAGUUAAGUUGAUUUUAUACAACACUUGUUUAAUUCAAAACUUGUAAUAUUCUUACUACUUUGAUAAAAAAUAUUACGAUUAAAGCAUUAAUGGCACCAUAAUACGAAAUGAACCUUAAGUGGUCAUUAUAGAUUUUAAGAUAGAGUUUUAAGUGAUUACCAGAUACUUUAGCUGCUGAACCGCCACAUCAUGGUUGCCACACAACAAUUUCAAACAGAACCUAAAUAACUUCAUUGCAAAACAGUUAAAUGAAUCUAACUUAGUUUCGUCGUUUGAUUUUCAGCUGUUUUUAACAAGGAAGAUGAUAUUGGAACCUACACUAUCAAAGCGGUUGAUGAUCCGAGAACCUUGAACAAAAACUUUUACAUUCAGCCUCCCGGUAAUAUUUACUCAUUCAAUGAUCUUGUGUCUCUGUGGGAGAGAAAGAUUGGUAAAACCCUCGAAAAGGAGUAUGUUUCAGAGGAGCAGCUCCUAAAGAAUAUUCAAGGUUGGUUAAAACUCUCUUUUUUAAAUGUAUUAAAGAGAGCCGUAUAUUCUCUGCCGUAAAUGUCAUUGAUCCUGUCUUCUCCAAAAUGUUGCAGAAGCUGCACCUCCACACAAAGUGAUAUUAUCAAUUUAUCACUCUGCUUUCGUGAAGGGAGUUCAAACCAACUUCAAGAUUGAACCAUCUUUUGGAGUUGAAGCCUCGCAGCUUUAUCCUGAUGUCAAGUACACUACAGUUGAUGAGUACCUCAAUCAGUUUGUGUAACCCUUCGCUGUUUCCAGCUGCAGCUUGCAGGAUCUUGGACUGUUGGUAAAUAAAUAAUUGGCUUGUUGCCAUCUUUGGUUUUAUAUGUAAAAAUUAUGGUUGUUGGCCUUACUUUCUUCUGGUUGUCCAUGGAAUUUGUUAGACCAUAUUAUGUUUGCUAUGUCAGUGAUCAAAUGAAGUAGACCAUGUACUUGAUUUGAGAGUAGUAGUUAUAAAGCCAUCAUGAUCAGGUGGGUGCGUGGGUUGGGCUUCUAUUAGGGUGCGUGUGUUGGGGGGCUUCAGGGGCUUGUGAUAUGGGUUCGACAGCCCCUAACGGGCAGUCAUUAUAAAAAUGAUUAUAG